ACGCUGGCGGCAGGCCUAACACAUGCAAGUCGAGCGGUAGAGAGAAGCUUGCUUCUCUUGAGAGCGGCGGACGGGUGAGUAAUGCCUAGGAAUCUGCCUGGUAGUGGGGGAUAACGUCCGGAAACGGACGCUAAUACCGCAUACGUCCUACGGGAGAAAGCAGGGGACCUUCGGGCCUUGCGCUAUCAGAUGAGCCUAGGUCGGAUUAGCUAGUUGGUGGGGUAAUGGCUCACCAAGGCGACGAUCCGUAACUGGUCUGAGAGGAUGAUCAGUCACACUGGAACUGAGACACGGUCCAGACUCCUACGGGAGGCAGCAGUGGGGAAUAUUGGACAAUGGGCGAAAGCCUGAUCCAGCCAUGCCGCGUGUGUGAAGAAGGUCUUCGGAUUGUAAAGCACUUUAAGUUGGAAGGAAGGGCAGUUACUUAAUACGUGAUUGUUUUGACGUUACCGACAGAAUAAGCACCGGCUAACUCUGUGCCAGCAGCCGCGGUAAUACAGAGGGUGCAAGCGUUAAUCGGAAUUACUGGGCGUAAAGCGCGCGUAGGUGGUUCGUUAAGUUGGAUGUGAAAUCCCCGGGCUCAACCUGGGAACUGCAUUCAAAACUGACGAGCUAGAGUAUGGUAGAGGGUGGUGGAAUUUCCUGUGUAGCGGUGAAAUGCGUAGAUAUAGGAAGGAACACCAGUGGCGAAGGCGACCACCUGGACUGAUACUGACACUGAGGUGCGAAAGCAUGGGGAGCAAAC
rnacentral:rRNA from 1 species